rnacentral:rRNA from 1 species
UACGAAGGGGGCUAGCGUUGCUCGGAAUCACUGGGCGUAAAGCGCACGUAGGCGGCUUACUGAGUCAGGGGUGAAAUCCUGGAGCUCAACUCCAGAACUGCCUUUGAUACUGGUGAGCUUGAGUCCGGAAGAGGUGAGUGGAACUGCGAGUGUAGAGGUGAAAUUCGUAGAUAUUCGCAAGAACACCAGUGGCGAAGGCGGCUCACUGGCCCGGUACUGACGCUGAGGUGCGAAAGCGUGGGGAGCAAACAGG